GGUGAAGCGGCGGCUGAGGCAAUAGUUCUCCACGUCCCUCCGCCAUGACAACCAAAUAAACACUGAAGUGAGGACCGUGGCUCUAGAAGCGCACAGACGGAGGCACCGCACAACGGGAGGGUCGUCACUUCACGGAACCAGAACAGCAGGUGUGGGGAGAAGUAAUGACAGGACUCCAUUUUACUGGCUGUCACAUCCCAGCAUGCUCGCCGCUGUCCAGUCGAGUGCACCGACUGAAAGAUGACAAGCUGACAGCUCACCACACAGGAUACCAGGCGUCUAAUGACAUUCUGCGAGUCCUCUGUGUGAGUGUGAUAGUUCGUCUGGGGGAAUGUUGCCACAUCAACACAAAUCGAACAAUGCACCGAAAUAUAAUGGCACUGGACGCUACCAGUUUCCAAGGCAACAAUUGUGACAGAUUUGGGGGAGACAAGACAGGUAAUUGGAAAAAGAUUGAUGGGGUACAAGAGAGUGGAAAAAAACCCUAUCAAAGGAGGUCUCUCUGGGAAUAACAACAAUACAAUAAAGGGUCUUGCAUCCUUUCGAGCCAUCGGCGGCCUCCUGUCCAUCUAUUUUCAGGCACCAAUUCAAUGGCUUUAACACAUCUGUCAGUCUUCCAUCAUGUGAAAGUGUACAAAAAGAUUGUGUAUUGCUAAAUGAAGCGGUAUCAAAAAUGAUUCAUCUGCAGGGAAUAUCUUAAAAAGGAAUAUCUGUGUGUUUCUUUACAGAAUUCCAUUUCUAUGUUAAACUGAAAAACAUGUAAAUUACUAAUAAAUUUAUAGUAAGACUUAAUAUUGUAAUAAAAUACUGUAAAAAAUGUAUCAUUAUUAAAACAUGGUCGUCACGUAACAUCUACGUAACCAAGCAAACCCAAUGGCCAAUCAAAAUUAGCCCAGUGAUCCUAGGUCAAAUAUCUAAUUAAGCCACUCCCAUAACAACAAAACAUGAAUGUUGUGCAAUAUCCACAAUUGAAAACUUGAAAAUCACUAUAUAGUAGUAAUAAACACAGUCAUAAAAUGGCCUCUGUUCAAUAAAAUGUUUUGUGCUACAUUUUUAUUGCGCUAUUUUGCCAUAUGUGAUAC